UUUAUACUUUCUUCGUCCAGAAAUACUUGUCAUCAAAAUGAAUAAAAGAGGAUGUAUCUAGAUGUAUUUUAGUUCUAGAUGCAUCCUUUUUUAUCCAUUUUGAUGACAAGUAUUUUUCAGACGAAGGGAGUAGCUU
rfam:Triticum aestivum genome assembly, contig: Triticum_aestivum_CS42_TGACv1_scaffold_393396_5AS